rnacentral:rRNA from 1 species
UAGGGAAUCUUCGGCAAUGGGGGGAACCCUGACCGAGCAACGCCGCGUGAGUGAAGAAGGUUUUCGGAUCGUAAAGCUCUGUUGUUAAGGAAGAACGAGUGUGAGAAUGGAAAGUUCAUACUGUGACGGUACUUAACCAGAAAGGGACGGCUAACUACGUGCCAGCAGCCGCGGUAAUACGUAGGUCCCGAGCGUUGUCCGGAAUUAUUGGGCGUAAAGGGUACGCAGGCGGUUUAAUAAGUCGAAUGUUAAAGAUCGGGGCUCAACCCCGUAAAGCAUUGGAAACUGAUAAACUUGAGUAGUGGAGAGGAAAGUGGAAUUCCUAGUGUAGUGGUGAAAUACGUAGAUAUAUGGAGGAACACCAGUGGCGAAGGCGACUCUCUGGUCUGUAACUGACGCUGAGGCUCGAAAGCGUGGGUAGCAAACAGG